rnacentral:rRNA from 1 species
AAAACAUUGCCCCACGUACACUUAUGCGGGGUACAUCCUGCCCAGUGAAGUAAUUUCAACGGCCGCGGUAUCCUAACCGUGCAAAGGUAGCAUAAUCACUUGCCUAUUAAUUGUAGGCUGGAAUGAAUGGAUAAACGAAAUAAAACUGUCUCUUUCAUAAUUCUAUAAAUUAAUAUCUGAAUGAAGAAGUUCAGAUUCUAUCAAAGGACAAGAAGACCCUGUAGAGCUUUAUUUUUAGUUUAAUUUAUUAAACACAAAUUCGGUUGGGGCGACCAAGGAAUAAAACUAUCAUCCUACAAACUUAGAUUUAUAUAUCUUGAAAAAGAUCCUUAAACACAAGAUCUUAAAAUCAAGCUACCUCAGGGAUAACAGGCUAAUUUUUCUUUAGAGCUCUUAUCAAAAGAAAAGGUUGGCACCUCGAUGUUGGCUUAGGGAAUCUAAAUAGCGCAAAAGCUAUAAAAGAGGGUUUGUUCAACCCAUAAAUCCCUACGUGAUCUGAGUUCAGACC